UCCUUGGUGGUUCAGUGGUUAGACUUGGCACUUUCAUUGCUGUGGGCCUGGGUUCAAUCCCUGGUCAGGCAA
rnacentral:tRNA from 1 species